rnacentral:rRNA from 1 species
GAUGAACGCUGGCGGCGUGCCUAAUACAUGCAAGUCGAGCGAACGGACGAGAAGCUUGCUCCUCUGAUGUUAGCGGCGGACGGGUGAGUAACACGUGGAUAACCUACCUAUAAGACUGGGAUAACUUCGGGAAACCGGAGCUAAUACCGGAUGAUAUUUUGAACCGCAUGGUUCAAAAGUGAAAGACGGUUUUGCUGUCACUUAUAGAUGGAUCCGCGCUGCAUUAGCUAGUUGGUAAGGUAACGGCUUACCAAGGCAACGAUGCAUAGCCGACCUGAGAGGGUGAUCGGCCACACUGGAACUGAGACACGGUCCAGACUCCUACGGGAGGCAGCAGUAGGGAAUCUUCCGCAAUGGGCGAAAGCCUGACGGAGCAACGCCGCGUGAGUGAUGAAGGUCUUCGGAUCGUAAAACUCUGUUAUUAGGGAAGAACAGAUGUGUAAGUAACUGUGCACAUCUUGACGGUACCUAAUCAGAAAGCCACGGCUAACUACGUG